rnacentral:pre_miRNA from 1 species
AAACUACUCCCUCCGAUCCAUAUUAAUUGUCUCAAAUUUGCCCAAAUAUGGAUGUAUCUAUGGCUAAAAAGCGUCUAGAUACAUGUACUAUUUUGACAAUUAAUAUGGAUCGGAGGGAGUAUUCU